rnacentral:lncRNA from 1 species
GUGUGUGUUUUGUUGUUGCUGUUUUGUUUUGUUUUCUGGCUCAGAAGAUCCUUGUUGGAUUGUUUCAAGGAGGCAGACAUGACCAGCACUAAGAUAGGAGGUUGGGUCUCCCAGCACCUGUGGAGCUGCAGCAUCUUCCAGCAGAGGCAGGCCUUGACCCUGCUGCAGGGAGCUGCCCUUCACAGCCAUGCCUGCUGCUUCUGUCUCCCUCUCUGCUCAGGAAAUGACAUGUUGGAUUUCAUUUGGCAUGGUCCACUGAAAACUGUAUCUGAUGGGUGGCAGAUCUCACGUUCACAAAUGGCCUCUAGGUUUUAGAAGAUGACUUGUUAUAUUCAGGUUCAGAAGACUGAUUACUCUUAGUAUAAUUCUGAAGACUUCAGGGUGAGUCACUUGUUUCCCUUAAAAUCCUUGUUUAUACUGUACCUUCCUGCUGUCAUGCUGAUGUUUAUACUUCUGAGGGGCAUUCAGGAGGUACAUUACCAUGUUGAACAGCCUAAGACCUCAGCUAUCUGGCUUUAUCCUUCAAAAGCUGGUUUCUGGACAUCAUAUAACUGGGUUAUUG